rnacentral:tRNA from 3 species
CAUCAUGUAGCUUAACUAGCAAAGCAUCUGGCCUACACCCAGAAGAUUCCACAACCAAUGGACAUUAUGA